GCAGUCGUGGCUGAGUGGUUAUGGCGAUGGUCUUGAAAAGCUUUGGGUUCUUCCCGCGCAGGUUCGAAUCCUGUCGACUGCG